AUGCAAGACUACUUCAUGGACAAUCCAACCUAUCCGUCGCAUCUCUUCCGCAGAAGGUAUCGAAUGUGCCGAACUCUUGUAAAAAUUGGGCAAGCUUGUGAGGCCAAUUGCCGAUUUUUCACUCAAAGGAGAAACGUCGCGGGCUUGUUGGGCUUUAGCGCCUACCAAAAAAUCUCCGCAGCUAUGCGUGUGAUUGCAUAUCGAUGA
rnacentral:rRNA from 1 species